GCCUUCGGGCAUUUGGUCAAUUUGAAACGAUACAGAGAAGAUGUGAGUACACCUCCCGAGGUCCCGAGUUCGAAUCACCAUUCAGUCACUAACUUCCGAACAGUAGCAUGGCCCCUGCACUAAGGAUGACACGCUCAAUCAAAGAGAAGCUACCAAUUUUU
rnacentral:snRNA from 1 species